rnacentral:lncRNA from 1 species
CCCCGCGAACCCCCGCCCGGUGGCUGAGUCCCUCGGAUGAUCUCCGUCCCGGUCCUUCUGCCCAGACACCGAAUGAGACGACUUUCCCACCUUCCGGGGGCCUGGCCCGUGACUCGCAGGCCUCCUGGCUAAACGGUUUCCUGAGGGGAAAACAGGACCACGGGGCCUUGCUGAGAACUCCCUGCCAUCGGUCAGGACGCCACCAAGGCUGAGUUCUCUGAGAUGCAAACCCUUCAGCACCGGCCUCUCCCGUCUUUCCAGGAUUCCGGGGCCUUAGGGGCCCUCGGAGUUACAACCUUCGCGCAGGACCAGGUGGUAACCAGUCUAGGCUCCGAGAGCCGGGAGGGGUGUGUCGUGAGCGGUCACCUCUGCCACAGACAGCUGGGGGAUGAGCGGGUGUGGCUGUGUUCCCAUCAAACAUUCCUUGAGAAAACAGGCCGAGGACUGGGUGUGGCCGGGAGGCCGUGUUGCUGACCCCUGGCUUCGAGAAAGGCAGAAGGGAAGACGUUCACCGGCUACGUUUCUUUUCUUCCUGAGUUCAGGACACCGUCACGGCCCCUGGGGGCUCGGGAACUGCUCAUUCAGAAGCGUCUGUGACCUCCCACGCCAGCUGGUUCCCCUUUUCCAACUAGGACGAUUAAAAAAAACCCAAGAACUACUUUCGAGGCCCUUGCAGACGGCCAUUGGCAGGGUGCCAGCCGCGGCUGGUGCUGUGACGGCAGGGUCCUCUCUGAACCAGCCGGAUGGUGCCUUCUACCCGGGAGAGCAAAUUCCAAGGGACUUCUGGGGCUAAAGCUCCAAGCCCCCGAUGCAAGAAUGCUGCCUCCCCAGGCCGACUGGAGUGCCUCCAAGCAGGUGAGAGACAUCGCCGUUGCCCUGUGGGUGUUUGCACAGUUACCUGCAACAGUUAUUAAAGCCAAGUAGCUAAGACACUUAGAGUGAAUUUUAACACUUAUUUAUUUUUGAGCGCAUGCGCGCGAGAGAGAACGAGCAGGGGAGGGGCAGAGAGAGAGGGAGACACAGAAUCCGAAGCAGCUCCAGGCCCUGAGCUGUCAGCACAGAGCCCGACGCGGGGCUCGAACCCACGAACCGCGAGAUCAUGACCUGAGCCGGAGUCAGACGCUUAAUCCACGGAGCCCCCCGGGCGCCCCUAGAGUGGAUUUUAGAGCGACCACUGGAAAACCAAACAGAGGACGAGCCGCUGUCUCACAGUUGAGACCUUUGCGCCUCUUAAUCCCCGAAAAUGAGGCAUUUCUAACCCUGAAAAGUAGCCGGCACAGCCCAGGCACCUGCCACGGUCACGCGCGGCCUCCGUGGGUCAGGGGCUCAGUGAGGAAGGCACAGCUCGCAGGUCGGGCGGGAUCUCCACGGGCCUCGUGCGGAAAGACGCCUGGGAGGGAACAGGAGGGGCGGCUGUGAGCUCAGGUCCGCAAGCCACUAACUGUUCCCGGAGGGCGGGGA